GUACAGCACUUUGAGAUAUCAGCUGAUGUACGAAGGGCUAUAUAAAUAAAUUUGAUUUGAUUUGACUUUCUAUAAAAGUUACAGUUCCCUGCAGUGGUAAGGUAAAUGUGACAAAAUCUCUCGUGCCAAGCACAGAGUUGAUUUGGAGUUUUCUAAUAACUUGUGCAAUGAAAUAUCCCCCUGAUAGUGUAGUUUCUAAUCUGCAGCUACUGUCGUCUGUUCUACAACAACUUUGUGUCUGCCUGUCUGUCUUAGUCAGGGCAGUUCAACCCAUGUGUUCCUGUGGCCCUACGAUGGGAGUGGAGGAGACAAGAUGACCAUGACUGUCACAGCCAGUACAACCGUAUUCUGACUGUUACCAUUAGAGACUGGCCUGCCACCCCCCAGCUGUGAGCUGGAACCUGUCACUCUGAUCCUCCACAGACUGGCCUGCCACUCCCCAAAUGCCGCAAACAGAAAUUUCAGUGGACCUCCUGCGCCAGUUUGCAGCCCCGCAGCUGGAGUGAGGAGUGUCUUUGAGGGGGAUUACCUUUCCAUAAAUCCAAUACAUGCUGGAAGACAAUUGAGCUCUACCGGAAACUCACGAAUGAGUCAUUUGAGGAGUUCUAACACUGGCAGUUUGAACGAGAGACUGUCAGGGAUUUGGCGCCACUGACCUCAGAUGGAACAAAGUGCCUUCUCGGUC